UUAUUGUAUCUGUAGAUUAUCAUAAAAAGGCAACAACCAGAGCAACUUGAAAAGAAAUAUUAAAGACUCAAAUAUAAAGAUAACAACCAUGGUAUAAUAAAACUUCUUCAGCUCAAGAAAGCUGUCCACAGUCAGCAACAACAACAGGCUUAGAGGUCCUUCCAUUAGACGACCCAAACUUCUCUAUAGCCUUCACAACAUCCAGACCCUCCACUACUCUUCCAAACACCACGUGUUUUCCAUCGAGCCAUUCAGUCUUG
rnacentral:lncRNA from 1 species